AAGAGCUCCUGGAUGGCUGUGCUAUUGCCAAUGAAGGUGACUGCCAUCUUGAGGCCACGAGGUGGGAUGUCACAGACGGCUGUCUUGACAUUGUUGGGGAUCCAUUCCACAAAGUAGCUGCUGUUCUUGUUCUGCACGUUAAGCAUCUGCUCAUCGACCUCCUUCAUGGACAUCCGACCACGGAAGACAGCAGCCACGGUGAGGUAUCGGCCGUGGCGGGGGUCACAGGCAGCCAUCAUGUUCUUGGCAUCGAAGACCUGCUGGGUGAGUUCCGGCACUGUGAGAGCUCGAUACUGCUGGCUUCCACGGCUGGUGAGAGGGGCAAAGCCAGGCAUAAAGAAAUGGAGACGUGGGAAGGGGACCAUGUUGACUGCCAACUUGCGGAGGUCAGCAUUGAGCUGGCCAGGGAAACGGAGGCAGGUGGUGACACCACUCAUGGUGGCUGAGACAAGGUGGUUCAGAUCCCCGUAGGUUGGUGUGGUCAGCUUCAGAGUGCGGAAGCAGAUAUCAUAGAGGGCCUCGUUGUCAAUGCAAUAGGUCUCAUCAGUAUUCUCUACCAACUGAUGGACGGAGAGGGUGGCAUUGUAGGGCUCGACCACGGUGUCAGACACUUUGGGUGAAGGCACCACACUGAAGGUAUUCAUGAUGCGAUCAGGGUAUUCUUCUCGGAUCUUGCUGAUAAGGAGAGUGCCCAUUCCAGAGCCUGUGCCCCCGCCCAGUGAGUGGGUCAGCUGGAAGCCCUGCAGGCAGUCACAGCUCUCUG
rnacentral:lncRNA from 1 species